AUACGGAGGGUGCAAGCGUUACUCGGAAUCACUGGGCGUAAAGCGCGCGCAGGCGGCUAUUUAAGUUGGAUGUGAAAGCCUACGGCUCAACCGUAGAACUGCAUCCAAAACUAUUUAGCUAGAGUGUGGGAGAGGAAGACGGAAUUAGUUGUGUAGGGGUAAAAUCCGUAGAGAUAACUAGGAAUACCAAAAGCGAAGGCAAUCUUCUGGAACACUACUGACGCUGAGGCGCGAAAGCGUGGGGAGCAAACGGGAUUAGAAACCCCAGUAGUCC
rnacentral:rRNA from 1 species